AGCAACAGGCUACUUCCUGGAUGACCUGACGGGGCAGUACCAUUUUGAUUCUGGGAGGGGUUGGACGCUUCUAUUGAUUCCAUGCUGACAAAUAUGGAUAUUGAAAAGUGUGGUAUGACUUGCUGUGGUGGUGUAUUAAUCGAUUAAGUUUCAAUGGUUAAUGUGUGCGUUGAGAUAUGAAAUAAUGUCUUUUACUGCCACCAUGUGGUCACAGCUAGCUUCGCAUGGGGAUGAUUUCAAAUGAAGGCUUUCACAGUCGCAAAAAUAAUCCCUUAACUCGGUGUUUUUCAACCUUUUUUAAGCCACGGGGCAGCAGUGAGUUACAUUCCUGCUCGUUGAAUUCUUGUCAUGGUGGUUCAAUUCCUGACUGACACAACAGAAAAAAAGAAUGAACCAAAUCACUUCUCCUCGCUCGCCGCCCACCAGCCUCCGACCGCGGCCUACAUUCCUCAGAGAGAGAAACCCGGUCCGGAUGGUGUUGUCAAGACAACUGCACACCAACCACAGACUCCACUUUGGUCAGCUUCAUUAGAGA